rnacentral:rRNA from 1 species
UACGGAGGGGGCUAGCGUUAUUCGGAAUUAUUGGGCGUAAAGGGCGCGUAGGCGGCCCGGUAAGUCAAAGGUGAAAUCCCUCGGCUCAACUGAGGAACUGCCUUUGAAACUGUCGGGCUUGAGGCCGGGAGGGGGUAGCGGAAUUCCCAGUGUAGCGGUGAAAUGCGUAGAUAUUGGGAGGAACACCAGUGGCGAAGGCGGCUACCUGGACCGGUUCUGACACUGAUGUGCGAAAGCGUGGGUAGCAAACAGG